AUUUAAUCUUUUCUCUUUAAAAAAGAAGAAGAGGAGGUGUGACCUUUUGAUAGAAGGAUGUCAAGUUAAGAAUUAAGGAAUGAGUUUGGAUGGAAGUUGGCAAAAAUAUGAUGGUUUGAUGCAAAAAAAAAAA